rnacentral:rRNA from 1 species
UACGUAGGGGCCGAGCGUUGUCCGGAUUCAUUGGGCGUAAAGAGCGUGUAGGCGGCCGCUUAAGUCCUGCGUGAAAUCUCGGAGCUCAACUCCGAGCGGUCGUGGGAAACUGGGCGGCUAGAGUGCGGGAGAGGAGAGUGGGAUUCCUGGUGUAGCGGUGGAAUGCGCAGAUAUCAGGAAGAACACCCGUGGCGAAGGCGGCUCUCUGGAACGCAACUGACGCUGAGACGCGAAAGCGUGGGGAGCAAACAGG